rnacentral:rRNA from 1 species
AUUGAACGCUGGCGGCAGGCCUAACACAUGCAAGUCGAACGAGUGGCGGCCGGGUGAGUAAUGUUUGGGAAACUGCCCGAUGGGGGGGGAUAACUACUGGAAACGGUAGCUAAUACCGCAUACCAUCGGUUUGCCCCGAAGGGGAUUAGCUAGUAGGUGGGGGAACGGCUCCCCUAGGCGACGAUCCCUAGCGGGCCUGAGAGGAUGCCCAGCCAACCGUGAACGUAGACACGGGCACGACUCCUACGGGGGGGAGCAGGGGGGAAUAUUGGACAAUGGGGGCAAGCCUGAAGCAGGCAUGCCGCGUGGAUGAAGAAGGCCGUGGGGGUGUAAAGUACUUUCAGCGGGGGGGCGUUACUCGCAGAAGAAGCACCGGCUAACUCCGUGCCAACAGCCGCGGUAAUUC